rnacentral:rRNA from 1 species
UACGUAGGCGGCAAGCGUUGUCCGGAUUUACUGGGCGUAAAGAGCGCGCAGGCGGUCGUUCAAGUCGCGUGUGAAAGCCCCCGGCUCAACUGGGGAGGGUCACGCGAUACUGAUCGACUCGAAGGCAGGAGAGGGUAGUGGAAUUCCCGGUGUAGUGGUGAAAUGCGAAGAUAUCGGGAGGAACACCAGUGGCGAAGGCGACUACCUGGCCUGUUCUUGACGCUGAGGCGCGAAAGCUAGGGGAGCAAACAGG